rnacentral:rRNA from 1 species
UACGGGGGGGGCAAGCGUUGUUCGGAAUUACUGGGCGUAAAGGGCUCGUAGGCGGCCAACUAAGUCAUACGUGAAAUCCCUCGGCUUAGCCGGGGAACUGCGUCUGAUACUGGAUGGCUUGAGUUCGGGAGAGGGAUGCGGAAUUCCAGGUGUAGCGGUGAGAUGCGUAGAUAUCUGGAGGAACACCGGUGGCGAAGGCGGCAUCCUGGACCGAUACUGACGCUGAGGAGCGAAAGCCAGGGGAGCAAACGGG